CUGCGAAUACCGGAGAAUGUUAUCACGGGAGACACACGGCGGGUGCUAACGUCCGUCGUGAAGAGGGAAACAACCCAGACCGCCAGCUAAGGUCCCAAAGUCAUGGUUAAGUGGGAAACGAUGUGGGAAGGCCCAGACAGCCAGGAUGUUGGCUUAGAAGCAGCCAUCAUUUAAAGAAAGCGUAAUAGCUCACUGGUCGAGUCGGCCUGCGCGGAAGAUGUAACGGGGCUAAACCAUGCACCGAAGCUGCGGCAGCGAACGUAUCACUUAAAGCGAUUCAGCGGGUUACGAUUGACGGAGCGAAGCGACGUCAAAGCGUAUACAAAGUCGAGUCGGUUUAAGGAUACGUUCGUUGGGUAGGGGAGCGUUCUGUAAGCCUG
rnacentral:rRNA from 1 species